UAACAAUAAGACUUCAUAUUACCCAGACAAUAAAUAUCAAAACAAUUUUGUUUACAAACAUACACAAAUCUAAAAACAAUUGAACAGCAAAAAUAUAUCAUUGUCACGGAAAGAAAUAUUUGUUUACGUAUUCUUGUACAGGAAUAUGAAAAACCGAUCACAACUGGAAACACUUCACACGUGCUACUGAUGUAUACGCGUAUUUAGGAAUAGUUAGGUUGUGGGGGAGGGGGGAGGUUUGCACAGGCGCAUUCCGACGUGAGAAAGGAGUGCAAGGCUGACGACGGGACGCUAGGCGUCGAGUAGAGUCAGUCUGUCGGUGUAACUAGACCCUGCCCGAACAGCACUGACUUAACGAAAAUUUGUCAUGUAAACAUCGUGAGUGUAAAGGAACAACUUCUGCGUGUUACUAGAAAGGACUCUUCAAGAUUUUGUGCACCAAUUUAUUAAGAAAACGCAUAGAACAGUGUGAACCAUGUCGUAAGCUUCUUCGAAUUGACAACUUGGUUUCACAGACGAUAUCCAAAAAAAAAAAAAAACGAAAGGUGACUUCUCACUGUACUGACAAUUUGUAACUUACGAACUUACCGACAACGAUCCAUGGACUUAAGUAGAGUCAAAACUGGAGUGACCUGUGGGUCACAGUACUAGCCCAGCACUCCACAGUUUUCAGGAUGUGUAUGGAGUAUACAACGCCUUGGUCUUUCGACGAUCACUUAUUGGCUUCCUAUUGGUUGAAAGCCCACGAAGUGCCUUUGAGGGCUAUUCGAUCCAUGUACUUCGAAUAUCUUCGUCCUGUGAACGCCUUGAACUACGAUACAAUUUCAACAUUUUCGAAAUUUAACCGAGUAAAACCUCGAACUACAUCAUAAUCUUAUUCUAAUUCAGGGCUUCCAGAUUUCUAAAGAAAUACGAAAGAGUUGAUCAUGAACAUUGGUUUUAGGAUACUUAAGCUGAAGAAUUUCCAAACGCGAUCCGUCUUCGACCUGGGAUGUGUCUUCAUCUAUGCUGACGUCAUCGUGGAAAUCCACACGCCCGUGGAUUGAGAAAGACGUAGAUUUCUUUAAGACCCCGAGUAAUUACGCGCCAUGUCAACUAUUUACGUUGAAAUUUUACAAAUCAUAUCACCUGGUCUUCAUACGACAUGACACUUACAGACACAUGAAGGAUGCAUUUAUUAUGUUGCACUAAUGGAGUACUAAUAAGAUAAAUGUCAAUGUUUUAGUUCUCUGAAUUUAUGUCUUUUUUAAUAUUAUACAUCUCUUACUUGGUAGACGUUGAAAGUCACUUAGGUAAGGGAAAGAAAAACACAGAGUGUCCCAAAAGUAUGUGCACACCUUUUAGUCGAUCUACGAGGGGGAGCUAGCGUGAAGAACACAUGUCUGGGUAAAUCUUUUCCCGACCGAUGGAUCGGACGUAGAUGAUCUUUGAGUACUCCGCACGUAAUGCGAUUUUAAGUGUGCACUUUCGUCCCGAGGAUGGAGGCGGCAAGGAAUAAAAGGUGUGUGCAUGUUUCCAACAUUUCAAACUUACUCUAAACGCGGCUUUGAGGACUUAUCGAGGUCAGAAUAGUUUAUCUAGAACAGAACAAAAACUCUCCGUAAUAAAGAUCAUAUAUUUAAUUGUUUAUUUUAACAGUCUA